CACGUAGGGCGCAAGCGUUGUCCGGAAUUAUUGGGCGUAAAGAGCUCGUAGGCGGUCUGUUGCGUCUGCUGUGAAAACUCGGGGCUUAACCCCGAGCCUGCAGUGGAUACGGGCAGACUAGAGGUAGGUAGGGGAGAACGGAAUUCCUGGUGUAGCGGUGAAAUGCGCAGAUAUCAGGAGGAACACCGGUGGCGAAGGCGGUUCUCUGGGCCUUACCUGACGCUGAGGAGCGAAAGCAUGGGGAGCGAACGGG
rnacentral:rRNA from 1 species